rnacentral:rRNA from 1 species
GUGGAUUAGAUACCCUGGUAGUCCACGCCGUAAACGAUGUCAACUAGCCGUUGGGGUCCUUGAGACUUUAGUGGCGCAGCUAACGCAUUAAGUUGACCGCCUGGGGAGUACGGCCGCAAGGUUAAAACUCAAAUGAAUUGACGGGGGCCCGCACAAGCGGUGGAGCAUGUGGUUUAAUUCGAAGCAACGCGAAGAACCUUACCAGGCCUUGACAUGCAGAGAACUUUCCAGAGAUGGAUCGGUGCCUUCGGGAACUCUGACACAGGUGCUGCACGGCCGUCGCCAACU